rnacentral:rRNA from 1 species
UACGUAGGGUGCGAGCGUUGUCCGGAAUUAUUGGGCGUAAAGGGCUCGUAGGCGGUUUGUCACGUCAGGAGUGAAAACUCGGGGCUCAACCCCGAGCCUGCUUCUGAUACGGGCAGACUAGAGGUAUGCAGGGGAGAACGGAAUUCCUGGUGUAGCGGUGAAAUGCGCAGAUAUCAGGAGGAACACCGGUGGCGAAGGCGGGACUCUGGGCCGAUACUGACGCUGAGGAGCGAAAGCGUGGGGAGCAAACAGG